rnacentral:lncRNA from 1 species
UCAUGUUUUAAAAGAAUAUACAUAAACCGAUUGUAAUCAAUGAUGAGUUAGACCGGGGCCCAACCCUUUUUACGAUUUCACUGUCAGCUCCCGUGGGCAUCUCAGCUGAAGCUUUCUACCAUUAAUUUAUAAAUCCGUCUUACUACGCGAGUUACGGGUGCUCUCCCUACAUCCUUAUUCCUUUGCCAAGACCGCGCCGCCACGGGACACUCUGAACUCCGUCUGCAUACAAAAAUAAAGGUCAUGGCCUUUCAUUAAGGGAGGGAAGGAAAACGAUGCUGCCUAAAUCAGAUAAAAAAGUCCUUUACUCUGAAGGGCGAGAGUCCGAUCACUGUAUGUGCCAGGGGGAGAUCUAUCGGCUCGACUUGGCAAAUUGGAGAACCGCCCACGCGAUGCUCGCGUACAUCCUGCGACGACGAAUAUAGAUCGCCAAAGGGAAUAAAAAUCUACGGCGAGGCUGCGAUUCCUCUUACCGUGCUUUUUCGAGAUGUCGUAUUACCCCGGGACGUUAAAUUAUACCUACAAUACACCAUGAAAUUUGAUUAUCAAACGUUCAACCCUCGAGGGAAUGUAUGCACUUCGAGGAGAUCUGCACCCUGCAUGCAGAAUAUCAGUUUGGAAUUGUAGCCGCAUGUGGGAUUCUGGAUUGGGAUUUGGAUUCAGAAACGUCGGGGGAUAAUAACGACGCGAAGUGGUGGAGUAGAUAUCAUACCGCGGUAUAAUCAGACAACCACGCCUACCGGCACGAAGCGUCGCCGGGGUCCGCCUACCGCGGCAAUUACAUCCAGGCGGUUUCACUCGUUUCAGUUCCCCCCAUCGCAGCAGCAGCUUAUGACUCGAUUCCCUCGUACCGCUAUACGAUUAUCCGAUCCCUCUCCCUCUCCUUUUCCCUCUCCCUCUCCCUCUCGAAGCCCCGAAUCCCCGAUUCCUUGUGGCACUCGACGUUGCUACUCGAUCCCAAACUUCCAACCAUUCGCCUCUCCUGCACGAUGUCUCCGGCUCCUCAAGUCGAACACAUAUGUGCGCUAUAACUGUAGGUAUACAUAGCUAUAGCUGAUACACUCUCGUUCCCUCUUUUUAUCCAAUCGGCUUUUAGUUUUUUCCUAUCUCAAUUAGAUCCCGCGCGGUGACACCGAUUAGUAUCCAACAGUGGUUUUCAUCUCGAUUUAGAAACUAAACGUGAUUUGGAUCUUUGAUUUUUCCCAUGAGGUCAAUCGUAGGAUC